CCUACGGGAGACAGCAGUGAGGAAUAUUGGUCAAUGGACGAGAGUCUGAACCAGCCAAGUAGCGUGAAGGAUGACUGCCCUAUGGGUUGUAAACUUCUUUUAUAUGGGAAUAAAAUGUUCCACGUGUGGGAUUUUGUAUGUACCAUAUGAAUACGGAUCGGCUAACUCCGUGCCAGCAGCCGCGGUAAUACGGAGGAUCCGAGCGUUAUCCGGAUUUAUUGGGGUUAAAGGGAGCGUAGGUGGAUUGUUAAGUCAGUUGUGAAAGUUUGCGGCUCAACCGUAAAAUUGCAGUUGAAACUGGCAGUCGUGAGUACAGUAGAGGUGGGCGGAAUUCGUGGUGUAGCGGUGAAAUGCUUAGAUAUCACGAAGAACUCCGAUUGCGAAGGCAGCUCACUGGACUGCAACUGACACUGAGGCUCGAAAGUGUGGGUAUCAAACAGGAUUAGAUACCCGGGUAGUC
rnacentral:rRNA from 1 species